rnacentral:rRNA from 1 species
AUGAUUAACCAGAGAACAUUCUUCACAUAUAUUUUUUAUUGCUCGGCAGCCAAAUACGUUUGGAGUAGUGUGUGCAAAUGUAUUGGCGGCACAGAUGGACUUCGAUGUUUUUUCGAGUACUUUUGGUGGAUUCCAAACGUUUUGACUAGUAGCCGGAAUUUGCAAAUUUUGGGGUUGGUUGUAAUUUGUUGGUCCAUUUGGAAGUUGUGCAAUUGAGCAUGUUUUGAUCAUAAAUUUGGUUAGAUCUCUUGUUGAUUUAUUUGCUACGCGUGCUCGUUUAUGCACUAUUGGGUAGUUUUACAAACUGAAGGUGAUCGACUACUGUUGGAGUAAGGCGCUAACAUCAUGCAAAGGGAGGCUCUGGUGGCGCAUGAUGAUAGGUGUGGAGAAAGAAGGGGACAAACUCUACGUCUCGGGCGGGAAGAUCCAGAGAAGUUGAAUAUGACCGACAGAAAUGAUGAAAUUAUAUUAGAAAAAUUGUUGUUGUGA